GCAGAAUCCUUGUCAUUUCUUCUUUGGGUCCUCAGUACCUUGCAUAAUAUCUGACAUAUAGUCAGUGCUCAAUAAAUAUGAUUUGUGAUGUGUUGCCUUCAUAAACUUCUGGUGAAUCUCUCCGUGCUGCCCCGGAACGAGUGAUUCAUCCAUUCAUGUUGGCACUGUCAAGUGAUGCUUGAUUUUGUAGACAUAACCACAGAGGAUCCAAAGAUCUUUGGUUAGUAUGUUCAUCUUCAAAAAUUUGUUUCAGGUAAAGUCUGCACUCCUUUUAAAAUAGUAUCUAUGUUCUAUAUUUGUGUACAGAAAUGACUAAGAGGGCAUAGAGUUUAUAAUAUUAUUUUUUUCCAGGUUUGGGUGUGAGUCAAUUCUGACCCCUUGAAAAUUCUAUUUGCAAAUUUACGCAAGGCAAAAGCAAGAUUCAUACCUGACUGUCAUUCAGAAUGUAGAAUUCUACGCUCUGUGAAAAAAGUAUACAGAGAUUAAACUAAAAACCAAAUGAAAAGAUGAAUGGCCCACAUGGAGGUCAUUGAGCCUAUGAUUGUGGCCCCAUGAGACUAUAUUGUAAUGAAAUGAAGUGAUUGUCCCAGACGUCAAAUGUGAUGAAUUGAGUCUUAUAUUUAUAUACUUACCUGAGUCCUUAUUUUUCUAAAAUAGUACCUUUUGUUGGUUCUUCUUUAUGCAAUCAUUGCUCUAAGUCAGAGUUUAAUAAUAGCUAGUGUAACUUUAUAGAUAAUCUGAAAAAAAGUAGAAAGAAGAGAGAG
rnacentral:lncRNA from 1 species